UCACCUCCCUCUAUAAUCCUGGAAAAACUACUAUCUACUGUCCCCAUGUGUAAAGGGGAAUUAUACUCACCAAGUUCCUGAAUUUGUCUCAUUUCCUCUAUAGAAUACUACCAAAAAGGUAUGACAUAGGAGAAAGCACAUGCCCUGCUCCAGAAAAGGGAUAUCUGAGUCACUGCAGGCAGAUGGCUAGCUCCCUUCGAUGUUUUGGGAAGAAAGGUAUCAUUUAGCUGAAGCAACUUAGUAUAACUAAAACAACACAUCCAUCAGCACCCUCUCAGGAACAGAAGCCUAUCCUUGGGUGUUAAAGAGCCCAGUAAGCAGAGGAGCUGCAGACAUGGUGCCCAAGAGGAAUCGGAGGUCAGCCAGCAGCAGCUGCCAAUUAUCCAAAAAUGGACUGCUUCUGGAGCAUUAUUUCAAACAUGAAUGUUUAGGCCCUUUGUUUUCCUAAACUCUCCAAAGAAAUGAAAUAAAUAGAAUGCAAAAGAA